GCCAAGCAAACCACCUCUUCAGUGUCUGCAGUCCCUGAAAGAGCCCUUGGGGAGAUACGGAGACAUUGACCUCAAUAGACGAACGCAGCCUUGAAUCUCGGGAAGGGGAUUUGAGACUAGAAGGCAAACUCUUUGAACUGCUAAUUGCUCUCUGCAGUUAAAUACCUCUGCAGCUAAAUACCUCUACAGCUAAAUACCUCUGCAGCUGCAUGGAAGCACAGAAGGUCAGCAAGGAUUUGGCUCAUAAGCAGGAAAGUGGAAUGAGACGUCUGGGUUGUGACUCACUCGACACGAUGUUUCUCCAUCAAGAACAUCAGUUCCUGAAGCAUUUGUGCACAAGACAUCCCUCUCGUAUGCACAGCUCGGAACAGAGAAAAAGCGAAGAAGCACAGUCUGGGCAGAUAGGCCUCUCCGAACUUGUUGUAUGUAAAUUAUGGUAGAGGAACAGGCCCGGAGGCCACUGGUAUGAAUAGAGUCCACUCAAAAGAAUGGAAUCUAUUCCUUGAUUGCAGACCACAGACUCAGGUGCCUGAUCUGAGACUGUUUGUACCUUAGUCUAAUGUGUAUGUGAGGGCAUCUGUAGCUCUCCUUAGUGCUUUGAAAAAUCUCUUUAAAUUCUGCCAGUCAACACA